AAAACUUUGCAUAGAGAGUUCAAGAGUACGUGACCCCGCUUCGAGGUAAACGGGUGGGCCCUCGAAAGUCGAACGGCGGGGGGAUUCAGUCGGGACGUUACGGGAGGGGUGUCGGGGAUCCCGGACCUUUACGGGCCGACCCGGCGCCACACUUCCCGGCGUGCCGACGCACUUUCUCCCGCCCUGUAGUACGCCGCGACCGGUGGAGUCACUUCUAAGCGUCAGUCGUGAGGGCUGGUUGCUGAAGGUGGCCGGUGGUACGCUCCUCGGAGAAACCGCCGGUGUUAUAUGAGUCCAUCCCGGACGUGUCGCUCCACCGGGGCACGACCAGGCCGUCCCGGCCAAUCCGCAUCUUUCUUCAAAACGGGCGUCUCGUCAGGAGUCCAAAGCGUCGCGGUCCCGCAGGUCGGCGGGCUGCGCGCGGCGGGCCACGUUGGACGUGUUCGCUCGAGUGGUGCUGGAGGUCAGCGGCAAGUAGGUCGGUCCCCCCCCCGACCCUUUCUUG
rnacentral:rRNA from 1 species